GAAAGGCAUCGUAGAAACGAAGCUCAAAUUCCUUAUUCAGCGAGUCGUCUCAUUUAUCAGCCGCCAUGGAAGGCCAAGAGGGAACUCAGCAGCCUCAUCUCGUUCUUGCUCACAAGCUUUUCCUCCUAACUCAUCCCGAUGUUCAAGAUAUUGAGAAGGUCCGUCUCACAGAGGAAGUUUUGGCCUCCGUUAAAGCAGAUGAUAUGGCUCCGUUAUACGAAACCCUAACCGGC
rnacentral:misc_RNA from 1 species